rnacentral:rRNA from 1 species
GAUGAACGCUGGCGGCGUGCUUAACACAUGCAAGUCGAGCGAAGCACUUAAGUUCGAUUCUUCGGAUGAGGACUUUUGUGACUGAGCGGCGGACGGGUGAGUAACGCGUGGGUAACCUGCCUCAUACAGGGGGAUAACAGUUAGAAAUGGCUGCUAAUACCGCAUAAGACCACAGUACUGCAUGGUACAGUGGUAAAAACUCCGGUGGUAUGAGAUGGACCCGCGUCUGAUUAGGUAGUUGGUGAGGUAACGGCCCACCAAGCCGACGAUCAGUAGCCGACCUGAGAGGGUGACCGGCCACAUUGGGACUGAGACACGGCCCAGACUCCUACGGGAGGCAGCAGUGGGGAAUAUUGCACAAUGGGCGAAAGCCUGAUGCAGCGACGCCGCGUGAAGGAUGAAGUAUUUCGGUAUGUAAACUUCUAUCAGCAGGGAAGAAAAUGACGGUAC